CUAGGAUUAAUCUAAAUAUUAUUCUACACCACUAACCUUCUCUUAAUGCUUAAUCAACACAAACAAUGGAUCUUAAACAUCAAUGGACCUAGAUGGAGGGGAAUCUGGCCCAAAAACUGGUGCAUCGGUGCUAGCAGGCCCAUGGUCCAUCUGAAAGUAACCUCAGACGACACGUCUUCGUGGCAAGGGAAUAGUCAGGGUUGACACAUCAACCGAAAAAUCUAGCAAAAUGUUAUCUACACGGGAAAUCUGCAACCGCAAACAACUCAACAAUGCUCACUGCUCUCUCUCCUCCGCACAUGGCUUCCGCUCAAACUCUCUCUCCGCCGCGCCGAAACUCACGGCCAGCAACGGUGGAGAUCUGACCUCCUCUUGAGACUACACCAAAGCAAACAGUUCUUCGACCUUAACCUAACUACAAAAUUAACUUCUCCUAAUUCUCAACGAACAACCUGAAUCGGAGGAGAGUUUCCAUGAAUCUCAAGAUUCGUCGGUUAAAUCAGGCGGCGAAACCGCGAUAACUCAUCUAACUAGUUCAAGGAUGAUGAUCCUCCAGUAGAACCUACGCUCUAGUAACAAGCUUACAGCGAAAGCGAGGGAAGAAGUAAAUACCUCUGGUAUGAACUCCGACAGGGAUGAGCAGUGGACUAUGGAUGUGGUUGCUCCGAUUCGAUUGAUGAAUUCUCUCUCCUGGUUUGAGCGCCUUUUCUACGUUUUGUUUUCUUCAACUGAGAUCUCACCUUCUUCCGUUUCUUGCUCACUCGAUGCGAUUUCGGUAACGCAUUGCGGUUCUUGGCCGAGUUGUUGUAGUGCGGUUCGUUAUCGGUGGUGGAGUGUCUCCGUGAUGAAGACCGAAGCGCUGAUGAAGAGAAGAUUGAAGUCGAUGAUCAAAGAAAAGAGAGGACGAUUGAUUCCGAAAGGUUAAUCGUUCCUUAUGAAGUGAAUUUGUUAUUGAAAUGGCUUACAUCGCCGGCUUAAUUGGCUUGUGUGUACUAGCUUAUGAUGGGAGCAACAACUUGUGUUUGAAGGUGUUAGUUUGUGCAGGCUUCGGUAGCGGCUUUGAGCUGUUGUUGUGGAUUGAUGGAGUUAGAAUCAUGGUUCUGCAGGUGUAUAGCAGAUGGGAGUACUUUUGCAUUGGCUUGCAUUUGGAUUCGGUGUGUAGCUGCUGGCUCAGCGUGCGUUUCAAGUGCUUGUUGUUGUAGCUUUAUCAGCUUCUCACACGCACUUAAGUUGCAGCUUCUAUUUGCAUUGUACUGCUGUACUUUAUUUAUUAUUUUUCCAUUUGGCUGCUGUCAUUUUUUCUGCUACUGUCCUGCGAUUUGAAGCUUCACUUCCUUUUGAUUUUGCUGUUAGCUUAUUUGAUUGUUGUUUCUAUCUUUUUCUUAGCUUUUUAUUUUUCUUAUUUGGACAAUGUUAAUGUAUGGAUUGGAUUUUGUGGUAAUUGUAUCAACAAUGGAUAAUUGGUAUGAA